CAAAGAACUACAUAUCCUAAAGUAUAUUUAAGCUUUAAAAUAUUUGUUUGACAAAACUAUUAGUAGCAAUUUAUGAACCUUCAAGUAUUUUAGAUUUAACAGAUAAAAGAUAUUUUUCAAAGAAUGUAAGCCCAAAAAUAUUAUGCUGAAAAGACCGUUGAAAAAGGAAUUGCAGGAUGAGGCUAUUACAUUUUGCGAUGUGACCAAAAUCUCUUCCAAUAGAUACGUGUACUAAAAUCAUAUUAAAGAUCAUCAAAUUGAAUCUCUUACUUUGCAUUUUUGUCCCCAAGAAUAAUAAUAAAGAGGGACCAAUUAAGAUGAGAGUAAUUUUUCUCAAGCUAGACAUCACAUCAAUAUAUUCAUAAAGAAUAUAUAUUGAAAACUUAUACAUUACUAAAUCUUCUCAUUUUAAAACAACUCUUUAAUAAUGUAUUAAAAUCAAUACAGCAUCAACAACAUACACCCAUAUUCAUCUGUCAAAACUUAGCACUUAGGCUCUGCCAAAUCCAGAAAAUGUGUCAACCUUAUCACCUACCUUUAGCAAAGCUUGAAAAUAUAAUGUUCAGAUACCAAGACACAUAAUACACAUCUAAGGCUGCAGCUGGGGUCCUGGGUCUGUAACACACAACAACCACAAAAAAAUAUGCCAUUAUAAGGAUAAAUAUUCAGUAUCUGAACUUAAACACGUUAGGCAAGAACAGCAAGACUGUAACUCAUUCUUCGGGUUGAGCACUUUUACACAAGGAACACAAAGUUCCUAAUUCACCUAAAAUAACUCUAAAGCUACUGGACUAAUAUGAGUUACAAAAAUUCUUGAGAGUUGGGACUCCUGGACAAUCAGUUAAUUCACCAAACUACAGAAACCACACGAAAAACCCAUGAAAAUACUUUGGAUUUUCACACACAUGCCCUUUUUUAAAGUUAAUAUCAUUAAAACAGCUAUGUCAAGGUUUACACGUCCAUUUCCAUUCUAACAAUAACAAAGGCUUUUAAAAAAAUCUCAAAGGGGGUUUUAUGAUGGUGCAAAUACAAAGCCCUGGAGAAGAGAACAGGACAGCUGGUGAGCAAGCAGAGAUGGAUUCCAUUUCAGGCAAGAUUUCUCUGUUUCUUUAUAAGAAUCGCACUUCUCUGCUUUCUCUAUUCUUAAAAGGAAAAUUCCUUUAUAGAUGCUUUGAUGGGACAGGGACCUAAGCUCCUAGAGGAAUCAACUUUCAAUACAAUUUGGGGACUCAGGGUGGACUGUAGGCACCAGCGCAUGCCACAGGACCUCACCAAGCAGACCAGGCCAGGGGCGCAUUGUUAGGGUGUGCAAACAAGUCAAGAUGGCGCCUGGCAUUUUGCCAGGGGGAGUGGUUUGUGAAGUAAUGCCAGAAAGCCAUUAAGUGUGGAGAUUCCUUAUUGGUUGACUGCUGUAUGUAGUUUUUGUUAAUUAAGAUAAGCUGUGUGUAAUGUAUAUAUACCCCUCCUGUUCUACAAUAAAGGGCUCUCACUCCUGCUGUAUCAAUCUACACAAGUUGCUCCUUCACCCCUGGUUAUUUUGCUGCAGCCAGAGUAUGGCAGCGCAUUAGCUCUCCAGUUCACCCCUCCAGUCUCGCUCAAUUGCUCCCUCUUAUUCUCUCCUUAAAGUCAGCUCUCAUAGCCCUCUGUAUCCUAAAAAACGUUCUUGGCCUCUAUGUUGGCGGCUAGGCGGCCUCCUGCUCUCUGAGCCCAAGUCCUCAGCGCCUGAGGUUCAGCGCUAUGUUCCUGCCACCGCCCCUCGGGAGUCCCAGGUGCUUCCCCAACCCUUACUUGGGCAAGAAGCUGGGAGCUCCUUAGUCCCUACUGCUCGCUGGCUGCAGGC
rnacentral:lncRNA from 1 species